rnacentral:ncRNA from 15 species
CUCAUACCAGAAGGGCAAGGUUCCCCGCUUAAAGGUGCAAAGCGCCUGGGGAUGAAUUGGGAAUGAAGUGAUGGUGGACCCAAGCAGGGCGCCUAGUCUUCAGCCGCCCCCGCGACUGUAAGCGGUGAGCCCCUGUCACAUGCCACUGGAUCGCAAGGUCCGGGAAGGCGGCAGUAAGGCGACGACCCGCGAGCCAGGAGACCAGCCCUGCGUUUGUCAAUCCCG